rnacentral:rRNA from 1 species
GACGAACGCUGGCGGCGUGCCUAAUACAUGCAAGUAGAACGCUGAAGGAGGAGCUUGCUUCUCUGGAUGAGUUGCGAACGGGUGAGUAACGCGUAGGUAACCUGCCUGGUAGCGGGGGAUAACUAUUGGAAACGAUAGCUAAUACCGCAUAACAGUAGAUAUCGCAUGAUAUCUACUUGAAAGGUGCAAUUGCAUCACUACCAGAUGGACCUGCGUUGUAUUAGCUAGUUGGUGAGGUAACGGCUCACCAAGGCGACGAUACAUAGCCGACCUGAGAGGGUGAUCGGCCACACUGGGACUGAGACACGGCCCAGACUCCUACGGGAGGCAGCAGUAGGGAAUCUUCGGCAAUGGACGGAAGUCUGACCGAGCAACGCCGCGUGAGUGAAGAAGGUUUUCGGAUCGUAAAGCUCUGUUGUAAGAGAAGAACGAGUGUGAGAGUGGAAAGUUCACACUGUGGCGGUAUCUUACCAGAAAGGGACGGCUAACUACGUG